GGGGCGGUAGCUCAGCUGGGAGAGCGCUACGUUCGCAUCGUAGAGGUCGUGGGUUCGAUCCCCAUCCGCUCCACCA
rnacentral:tRNA from 3 species